rnacentral:tRNA from 4 species
GGGUGUUUAGCUCAGUUGGGAGAGCGACGGCCUUACAAGCCGUAGGUCACAGGUUCGACCCCUGUAACACCCACCA